CUGGCAAGUCACAGUGGGAGCUGGCUAACAAAUUCAUGCAGUCUCCAACUUUAAAGCAGUUUAGAGAGGUAUACUGUAGAUGGGAACUGCUUUUGGAGAGGAUGCUGGUUCCUGUAUUGCCAUUUUGAGGACCUAGGGGUGACUCCUGGACUUUAUUGAAGCGCAUAUCGUGUUCAUCUCUGGUGUGGCCCCAAAUCAGGAUAUCAUCUACAAUGAGAUCAGGGUAUCCCUCAAGGAGAUGCUCCAAGCAACACUGGAAUACCUUACUGCCAGUACAUAUACCUUAUGGAAUUGGCAAGCACAACGGCAAGCUGCUGCUGGAAGCCCGGACCAAUCCCCUUCUCAGUCCCCCUCCCCUUCUGUGGCCCAACCCCCUCUCCUUCCCAAUCCCCUUCUCAGCCCCCCUCCCCUUCUGUGGCCCAAUACCCCUCUCCUUCCCAAUCCCCUUCUCAGCCCCCCUCCCCUUCUGUGGCCCAAUCCCCCUCUCCUUCCCAAUCCCCUUCUCAGCCCCCCUCCCCUUCUGUGGCCCAAUCCCCCUCUCCUUCCCAAUACCCUUCUCUGCCCCCCUCCCCCUCUCUUUACCAAUACCCAUCUCUGUCCCCCUUCCCCUCUGUAGGCCAAACCACCACUCCGCCCACCCACCCCUCUCUUUCCCAUUCCCCCUCUCUGGCCCCCUCCCCCUCUGUGACCCAAACACCCUCUCUGCCCCCCACCCCCUCUCAAUCAGACCCACCCUCUGUAAACAGCUCCCCAUUCCAUCCUCCUUCCUCAAUCCCUCCUCCUUCCCCAAUCCAUCCUCCUUCCCAGCCUCCUUCCCCCAUCCAGCCUCCUUCCCCACCCAGUGAAUGGGCAGAAGAAGCCCCUGCGGAUCUUCAGGGUACUGCACAUGUGGCAGAUGAGAAUGGUGCAGUUGGAGAUCCCACAUGCCUGCCUGGCAUCCUUGCCAGCCUAAAGGCAAAUUUGCAGGCCAUGCUGGCCGAUGUUGACC